AAUCAACGCUGGCGGCGCGCUUAACACAUGCAAGUCGAACGAGAAAGGGGAGCAAUCCCUGAGUACAGUGGCGUACGGGUGAGUAACACGUGGGUAAUCUACACUCUAGUGGGGGAUAACCCUGGGAAACCGGGGCUAAUACCGCAUAAGCCUGAGAAGGGAAAGCCGAAAGGCGCUGGAGGAGGAGUCCGCGGCCGAUUAGCUAGUUGGUGAGGUAAAGGCUCACCAAGGCGAUGAUCGGUAGCCGGCCUGAGAGGGCACACGGCCACACUGGCAC
rnacentral:rRNA from 1 species